rnacentral:rRNA from 1 species
GCUAGUAAUCGCGGAUCAGAAUGCCGCGGUGAAUGCGUUCCCGGGUCUUGUACACACCGCCCGUCACACCAUGGAAGUUGGGGGCGCCCGAAGUUGGUCAAGAAGAGAUUACCUAAGGCGAAACCAAUGACUGGGGUGAAGUCGUAACAAGGUACC